rnacentral:rRNA from 1 species
UACGUAGGGGGCAAGCGUUGUCCGGAUUUACUGGGCGUAAAGCGCGUGUAGGCGGAGCGUUAAGUCUGGCUUGAAAGCCCCCGGCUCAACCGGGGAGAGUGGCUGGAAACUGGCGUUCUUGAGGGCGACAGAGGAGUGUGGAAUUCACAGUGUAGCGGUGAAAUGCGUAGAUAUCUGGAGGAACACCGGUGGCGAAGGCGGCGUUCUGGACUGCAACUGACACUGAGAGACGAAAGCCAGGGGAGCAAACGGG